AUUCAGCUGACGAGUCCCAAAUAGGACGGGACGCGUGUGCUGGAU
rfam:Schistosoma mattheei strain Denwood, Zambia genome assembly, scaffold: SMTD_contig0021355